rnacentral:rRNA from 1 species
AGGUCACUGCUAUCAGGGUUCGAUUAAGCCAUGCGAGUCGAGAGGGUUCGGCCCUCGGCGUACUACUCAGUAACACGUGGAUAACCUGCCCUAAGGAAGGGGAUAACCUCGGGAAACUGAGGAUAAUACCCUAUAGGUUACAGACGCUGGAAUGCCCUGUAACCGAAAGCUCCGGCGCCUUAGGAUGGAUCUGCGGCCGAUUAGGUUGUUGUUGGGGUAACGGCCCAACAAGCCGAUAAUCGGUACGGGUUGUGGGAGCAAGAGCCCGGAGUUGGAUUCUGAGACACGAAUCCAGGCCCUACGGGGCGCAGCAGGCGCGAAAACUUUACAAUGCGGGAAACCGUGAUAAGGGAGCCUCGAGUGCCUGUAUAUGCAGGCUGUCCAGGUGUCUAAAAAACACCUGAAGAAAGGGCCGGGCAAGACCGGUGCCAGCCGCCGCGGUAAUACCGGCGGCUCGAGUGGUGGCCACUUUUAUUGGGCUUAAAGCGUUCGUAGCUGGGUUGUUAAGUCUCUUGGGAAAUCUGACGGCUCAACCGUCAGGCGUCCAAGGGAUACUGGCAAUCUUGGAACCGGGAGAGGUGAGGGGUACUUCGGGGGUAGGAGUGAAAUCCUGUAAUCCUCGAGGGACCACCUGUGGCGAAGGCGCCUCACCAGAACGGCUUCGACAGUGAGGGACGAAAGCUGGGGGAGCAAACCGGAUUAGAUACCCGGGUAGUCCCAGCCCUAAACGAUGCGCGUUAGGUGUAUCGGUGACCACGAGUCACCGAGGUGCCGAAGGGAAACCGUGAAACGUGCCGCCUGGGAAGUACGGUCGCAAGGCUGAAACUUAAAGGAAUUGGCGGGGGAGCACCACAACGGGUGGAGCCUGCGGUUUAAUUGGACUCAACGCCGGGAAGCUUACCGGAUAAGACAGCGGAAUGAUUGCCGGGCUGAAGACCCUGCAUGACCAGCUGAGAGGAGGUGCAUGGCCGUCGUCAGUUCGUACUGUGAAGCAUCCUGUUAAGUCAGGCAACGAGCGAGACCCACGCCAACAGUUGCCAGCAUGGUCUCCGGACUGAUGGGGACACUGUUGGGACCGCCUCUGCUAAAGAGGAGGAAGGAAUGGGCAACGGUAGGUCAGCAUGCCCCGAAUUAUCCGGGCUACACGCGGGCUACAAUGGGCAGGACAAUGGGUAUCGACACCGAAAGGUGAAGGCAAUCUCUUAAACCUGUCCUUAGUUCGGAUUGUGGGCUGCAACUCGCCCACAUGAAGCUGGAAUCCGUAGUAAUCGCGUUUCAAAAUAACGCGGUGAAUGUGUCCCUGCUCCUUGCACGCACCGCCCGUCAAACCACCCGAGUGGGGUUUGGAUGAGGCCGCGGUCGUUGCCGCGGUCGAAUCUAGGUUCCGCAAGGGGGGUUGAAGGACCACCGGUGGCGAAGGCGUCUCACUAGAACGAAUCCGACGGUGAGGGACGAAGCCCUGGGGCGCAAACGGGAUUAGAUACCCCGGUAGUCCAGGGUGUAAACGCUGCGGGCUUGGUGUUGGGGGUCCUUUGAGGGCGCCCAGUGCCGGAGAGAAGUUGUUAAGCCUGCUGCUUGGGGAGUACGUCCGCAAGGAUGAAACUUAAAGGAAUUGGCGGGGGAGCACCGCAACGGGAGGAGCGUGCGGUUCAAUUGGAUUCAACGCCGGACAACUCACCAGGAGCGACGGUUACAUGAAGGCCAGGCUGAUGACCUUGCCUGAUUUUCCGAGAGGUGGUGCAUGGCCGUCGUCAGUUCGUACCGUAAGGCGUUCUCUUAAGUGAGAUAACGAACGAGACCCUCGCCGUUAAUUGCUAGUGUUCUCUCCGGAGGGCACGCACAUUAACGGGACCGCUGUCGCUAAGACAGAGGAAGGAGAGGUCAACGGUAGGUCCGUAUGCCCCGAAUCUCCUGGGCUACACGCGCGCUACAAAGGUUGGGACAAUGGGCUCCGACAUCGAAAGGUGAAGGCAAUCUCGAAACCCAAUCGUAGUUCGGAUUGAGGGUUGUAACUCACCCUCAUGAAGCUGGAUUCCGUAGUAAUCGCUUGUCAACAUCAAGCGGUGAAUAUGCCCCUGCUCCUUGCACACACCGCCCGUCAAACCACCCGAGUUGGGUUUCAGUAAGGAUAUCUCAUUUUGGGGUCUUCGAACUGAGAUUCAGCAAGGAGGGUU